UUGGGGAUAUGAUGCCAUCACAAUCUAAUUAUCUAAGGCAGCAGCACUGCUGAGUACAUGUUUUUGCACGUCAGUCUGAUCCCAAC